GAUGAACGCUAGCGGCAGGCCUAAUACAUGCAAGCCGAACGGCAAGUUUGAUAGCAAUAUUGGACCUAGAGUGGCGCAAGGGUGCGUAACACGUAUGCAACCUGCCCGCGACAGGAGGAUAGCUCCCCGAAAGGGGAAUUAACCCUCCAUAACACCAUGAGAAGGCAUCUGAUUAUGGUUAAACCGCAAGGGGUCGCGGAUGGGCAUGCGGUUGAUUAGCUAGUUGGCGGGGUAAAGGCCCACCAAGGCGGUGAUCAAUAGGGGUUCUGAGAGGAAGGUCCCCCACACUGCAACGGGGUAACGGGCCAAACUCCUACGGAAGGAGGAGUUAGGGAAAAUUGAACAAGGUUUGCAAGACUGAUCCGGCCAUGCCGCUGGAAGAAGAAGGGCCUUUUGGGUCGAAAACUGCUUUUUCCGGUGAAAAAAUACCCGUGCGCGGGGAAUUGAAGGUAACAGGGGAAUAAGCCACGGCUAACUACGUG
rnacentral:rRNA from 1 species